rnacentral:rRNA from 1 species
AUACGGAGGAUCCAAGCGUUAUCCGGACUUAUUGGGUUUAAAGGGAGCGCAGGCGGAGAUGCAAGCGUGACGUCAAAUUUCGGGGCUCAACCCCGUCUCGCGUCGCGAACUGCGUCCCUUGGUUGCGGGAAGGGGAGGCGGAACUCGUGGUGUAGCGGUGAAAUGCAUAGAUAUCACGAAGAACUCCGAUCGCGAAGGCAGCCUUCCGGCCCGUCAACGACGCUCAUGCUCGAAGGUGCGGGUAUCAAACAGGAUUAGAUACCCUGGUAGUCCGCACAGUAAACGAUGGACACCCGCGGUUUGGCCUAUAUGGCUGAGCCGCCAAGCGAAAGCGUUAAGUGUCCCACCUGGGGAGUACGCCGGCAACGGUGAAACUCAAAUGAAUUGACGGGG